GGGUGUUUAGUUUACUAGAAUGCCAUUUUGCAAAAAUGGAGGCGGCUUGUUCAACACUCU
rnacentral:tRNA from 1 species